rnacentral:lncRNA from 1 species
GGCAAAUUGUGGAAUCUACGUAGGGCAAACUGAGCUACUCAAAUUCAAACAUAGUUGUCCACAGGAACACACGACUCUACAGAGAAUAAAGUGUUCUGCCUACGCGUAUUACUCCCUUGUGUCUUCUUGACUCAGAAAGUGCUGGGCCAUUCAUAUGAGUUGCUCUGAGGACUGGAGGUAUUGAAUCUGAAAAUCAAAGUGUUCUACAAAUACACACAUCGCUGUGCCAACCUGAGGACCACUACUUCUUCAUGAGCAUAUUUCCUGGGUCCACAGCAUAUGUUUUUAUUGUUACUUAAGUUUAAGACCCUCUACACCUAUAAGAGGUUACAAAAG